GCAUCCCCACUCUGCUCAAACUCCAACUGACAACAAUGGUGAAGAAAAAGGACUACUUGAAAGAAUAUGAAGCUGCCGAUUCCAGCAAGAACGACAUCUCUCGCAGUGAUUUCCCUCCAAACUUCGUCUUUGGCGUGGCCACUUCUGCCUAUCAGGUUGAAGGAGCCUGUAAGGAGGGUGGUAGGGGCCCUAGUAUUUGGGAUGCUUUUUCACACACUGAGGGCAAGAUUGUUGACAAAAGCAACGGUGAUUCUGCAGUGGAUCAAUAUCAUAGAUACAAGGAAGAUGUUGAGCUUAUAUCCAAGUUGGGGUUUGAUGCUUAUCGCUUUUCCAUAUCAUGGUCGCGUAUUUUCCCUGAUGGUUUGGGAACCAAAGUUAAUGAUGAAGGGAUUGCUUACUAUAACAAUGUCAUUAAUGCUCUUCUUGAGAAGGGUAUCCAGCCUUGCGUAACUUUGUACCAUUGGGAUCUUCCUUUGCAUCUUCAUGAGACAAUGGGAGGGUGGUUGAAUAAACAAAUUGUAAAAUACUUUGCAAUCUAUGCAGAAACUUGCUUCGCCAGUUUUGGUGAUAGGGUAAAGACCUGGAUUACAAUUAAUGAGCCCCUUCAAACUUCUGUUAAUGGAUAUGAUGCUGGGAUAUUUGCUCCAGGAAGACGAGAGCAUUCUUUAACAGAACCAUAUUUGGUUUCACACCACCAGAUCUUGGCCCAUGCAGCAGCUGUUUCGAUAUACCGAAACAAGUAUAAGGACAAGCAAGGGGGACAAAUAGGGUUGGUGCUAGAUUGUGAAUGGGCAGAGGCUAAUUCGGAUAAAAUGGAAGAUAACUCUGCUGCAGCAAGACGUCUUGAUUUUCAGUUUGGAUGGUUUUUGCAUCCAAUAUGCUAUGGGGAAUAUCCUAACGUGAUGCGUGAAAGACUUGGAGAGCGGCUUCCUAAAUUUUCAGAGGAAGAUAAGGAGUUGAUUAGGAACUCAAUUGACUUUCUUGGUCUGAAUCACUAUACAUCAAGGUUUAUUGCUUAUGUAAAAGAUAGUCCCGAUGAAGGUGAUUACUAUAAAGCACAAGAGAUGCAGAGACUCGCUGAAUGGGAAGAGGGUGAAGCAAUUGGUCCGAGGGCUGCAUCAGAAUGGCUUUAUGUGGUUCCUUGGGGCAUCCGGAAGGUUCUCAAUUACAUAGCACAGAAAUACAAUAAUGUCCCAAUAUAUGUUACUGAGAAUGGAAUGGAUGACAAUGACGACGGCACUUCCCCACUUAAUGAGAUGCUAGAUGACAAACUGAGAAUUUUUUACUACAAGACAUACCUUGAGGCAGUUGCUCAGGCAAUCAAAGAUGGAGUUGACGUGAGGGGAUAUUUUGCAUGGUCAUUACUGGACAACUUUGAGUGGGCUCAAGGUUAUACCAAACGUUUUGGUUUAGUUUAUGUGGAUUACAAGAAUGGGCUCUCUCGUCACCCAAAAUCUUCUGCUUAUUGGUUCCUAAGGUUCUUGAAAGGUGGGGAAGGAAAUCAUGUCAAGGAAGACUAAUUGACUUGUAUUCAGCUCCCCAAUCUGUAUCCGCUGGGUUAUAUAAUGAGUCAGAACCAAAAACAAAGAUCCUCAGGCAUGUGUAACAGGCAUUUACCAUAUAGCCAUGUUGUACACUUGUAUCUACAUAUGUAUCUGUUGGGUUAUGUAAUUGAGUCAAACCAAAAAUAAAGAUCCUCAGGCAUGCAUGUGUUACAGGCAUUUACCAUAUAGCCAUACUUAUUCUAGCUUUAGU